AGAACAUGACAAGGUACUUUUCCUGGUGACAGCUAGGGGAACACAGGUCCCUGUCCUCUGGGUUCCAGCCCAGAGACCUUGUAUUAAUCAGCUAAAAUCUGCUUCUUCAGAUUCAUCACUGGUUUCCUAAGCCACUUCCUACCUGCAUCUGCCUCCAAGCCCCUUUUGCAGAGGAACUGCUCCCAGUGCUUUCUUCCUGGAGGUUCCAGCUCCUUUCACUGCUUCCUACCAGUUUGUAGCGAAGGUAGAGUCCUCACAGGCUCCUUGGAAGCCUCCUUCUACCUGAUUUGCAGGCUCACAUCCCAGCUGUUGAUGGUCACCCAGUUAGUCACAGCUGAGGACGCUUUUCUGCCAAGAAACACUGGACACACUUACCCGAAGGACUUCUAAAUGGAUUGGAGGAGAUAAAGCCAUUCAAAAUGUCCCACAAAGCAACUACUUCAAAGACCUGAAACGAUCACUGUCGGAUAGGUACCCACAUUUGACUAGGAUGGUGUAUAUCAAAGUAGGGCGGAACUGCACCCAAACAAGGAUGAUUAAUGCAGAGGCACAACCGCAUUACUAUUUACAGAUGGGCAAGGUCACUGGUUCAAUUAGUGAUGGUCCAAUUCUCCAGUACACACACAUCCCUUACUGAAAGAGCAUCAGGCACUAUAGUUUUGGAUUUCUUUUUUCUUCUGGUAUAUCAGUUUGUAUUUUUCUAAACUAAAUCUCUUUGUUAUUCUUCUGCCAUAUUUCUAAUCUCCCUGAGUCCCUUUGUAUUAUUUCUAUGUUCUGAAUACAAAGUACAAAAGGAUUAUUAUUGCUGUGAAAUACUCAGUGUUUUUCCCCUGAGUCCAUAGUCUGCAUUCAGAAGAGGAGGUACCAAAUGAAUUUUGGAUCCUAAAUUAAAACUAUGUUCUGUAGGAUUCAAGAUGGAGCCAGAUGUUAUCUUUGUGGCCAAACCCUCAGAAAUCAAAUUUCCAUAUGAGUUAUAGAAUCAUUAAUUAUUAGGAGCAGACUACACUCCCUAUAUAACUUGGAAGAGCCAAAAUCUAAUUCAUUUUAAGUUACUGUGAAAAAGAAUUUAGAGAAAGAUACAGGUUACGCAGCUGUAAAGAAGCAGAAGAAGAUGAAAUAUAU